rnacentral:tRNA from 1 species
GAAAAAGAAACAAAUUUUGUAUUUAGUUUCGACCUAAAAUUUAGACAGUAAAUGUCCUUUUUCU